rnacentral:tRNA from 1 species
GCCCAUGUAGCUCAGCUGGUAGAGCACAUCCUUGGUAAGGAUGAGGUCACGAGUUCAAACCUCGUCGUGGGCU